rnacentral:lncRNA from 1 species
AGAGGUUUAAACUUGUUCAUUUGUGUACUAAGCACAUGUAGUACUGCUACUAUUAGUUGUGCGCCUACUAGUACUAGAACCAAUGCCAUGUUAGUUCACUCUCCCUCAACCUGGAGGCACACACCAAGCUAGCAGUUGCCAACACAGUGACACAUAUUUCUUCAACUCAUGUGCUCCCUGCCAGGUCGACCUCCACAAUAGUUUUGCCGACAAGUAAGGAUUGAUGUCUACUCUCUGAUCCUAAAUCUUUUCCCUGAUGUUUUCCCAUCUUUUUUAUGAUCAAUUAACAUUGUAAUCUCCUUGAUUAUGUUUUCUGUUUUUCAAGAUGUAGGUCUAGGCGGUGCCAUAGCAG